UUUGCUCAGUGCCUGGUGAGCAGCUUCUGUGCUUGUGUGAGAGCUGUGGACGGAGAUGGGGAUUGGGGUCUUCCUGCAGCUGACGCAGGGGUGGGCCUGCGAAGGUUCUACCCCGAAGGGAGAACCGGGCCAACUUCCUUCCUGCUGUCUCCCUCGCUCCUCCUCCUCCGUGGUUCUGGAGGUCGGGUGUGCAGUCCUUGGAACUCCCGGGCCCUGGGAAGGGCCCUGAGAACAUGGAAAAACAGAGGACCAGAAUGGCGUGUCACUCAGCAGAGAACAAAGGACCAGGGAGUCCAGCCUGGGACUGCGGAACCUGGUGUCUGGUCACAUGGAAACACAGGCCUCCAGCACCAGCCCUGGCUCUCUGUUCCUGCUGCCACUGCCACUCCCUUCGGUUAAGCUCUCCAUGCACCUUCCUGCUGCCCACCUGACUUCACUGGGAACUACUACCACGUGGCGUGUACUCCGGGCUCCACUGGAAGAACCAGCGCAGUAAAGGAUCCACAAGCUCAGCACUUUCUCUGUCUGAUCAGCAGUCUGACGUGGCCCAUCUGAAAAUCAGAAAUUUGGCAACACCUAAGAACUAAAAUAUAAGGCUUUAGCUUGCUUUUAAAAAGUCAGUCUCACUGAGGUAUAAUUUGCAAAUAGCAGGAGUUACCCUUUGAAGCACAGUCCUGUAAGCUUUUAAAACCACUACAACCAAGUUACUUCUAUUACACCCCAAAGUUCCCCCUCCCCUUUGCAGCCACCUCUCCCGUUACCUGUUUUUACCCACUUGUCUGUUUUCUGUUGCUGUGAGUGUUAUAUGCAUCCAAUAGUCCAUCCCUUUUUGUGGCUGCAUGGCAUGCCUGGGUGUGCUGCUCUCUACCCACUCGCCAGCUGAGGGGCACUGGAGUUGUUUCCAGUUUUUGUCAGUUAUAAACAAUGUGACUAUAAACACUCACGUACAGAUUUUUAAAUGGGCGCAUGUUUUCAUGACAAGGUUUUAUUUCUUGUAAGUGGCCACCCUGUCACAGGCCCGUAAGACCGGAUCCCACCGAAUGAGGGACUCGCUCAGUGAACAUCCUCCGUCCCUGUUCUUGUCUUCCUGCCCUGCCUCAGCAGCUCUUAAUAACCGUGGUGACACAAAACUGCCCAAGAGCAUUUGCAGGGAAUGUUUCUGGGGUGGAGGGGAGAAGCUGAAGCACAGUUCCCCCCCCCCCCCCGCCCCACAGGCGAGCCCCCGAGCGAGCCGGGCCGUUGCACAUUCGCCGCCGGCAGGGCUGGAUCGGGUCCCAC